UAAGCGGAGGAAAAGAAACUAACAAGGAUUCCCCUAGUAACGGCGAGUGAAGUGGGAAAAGCUCAACUUUGAAAUCUGGUACUUUCAGUAUCCGAAUUGUAGUCUCAAGAAGUGUUUUCUGUGCCGGUCCAUGUAUGAGUCUGUUGGAACACAGCGUCAUAGAGGGUGACAACCCCGUUCAUGACAUGGAUCCCGGUGCUUUGUGAUACACUCUCGAAGAGUCGAGUUGUUUGGGAAUGCAGCUCAAAUUGGGUGGUAAAUUCCAUCUAAAGCUAAAUAUUGGCGAGAGACCGAUAGCAAACAAGUACCGUGAGGGAAAGAUGAAAAGCACUUUGGAAAGAGAGUUAACAGUACGUGAAAUUGUUGAAAGGGAAACGAUUGAAGUCAGACGUGCGUGAUGCGGUUCAGCUUUAGUUCGCUAGAGUGUACUCCGUAUCUUUGCAGGCCAACAUCGGUUUUGUUAGUCGGAUAAAGGUUUGAGAAAUGUGGCACCUUCGGGUGUGUUAUAGUCUCAGACUGAAUACGAUUGAUGGGACCGAGGAACGCAGCGCGCCGCAAGGCAAAGGUUCCGACCUUUUCGCGCUUAGGAUGUUGGUGAAAUGGCUUUAAACGACCCGUCUGAAA
rnacentral:rRNA from 1 species